CAGUAGCCGCGGGAAUACAGAGGGUGCGAGCGUUAAUCGGAUUUACUGGGCGUAAAGCGUGCGUAGGCGGCUUCUUAAGUCGGAUGUGAAAUCCCUGAGCUUAACUUAGGAAUUGCAUUCGAUACUGGGAAGCUAGAGUAUGGGAGAGGAUGGUAGAAUUCCAGGUGUAGCGGUGAAAUGCGUAGAGAUCUGGAGGAAUACCGAUGGCGAAGGCAGCCAUCUGGCAUAAUACUGACGCUGAGGUACGAAAGCAUGGGGAGCAAACAGGAUUAGAGACCCCCGUAGUCCCUGUCUCUUAUAC
rnacentral:rRNA from 1 species